rnacentral:rRNA from 1 species
GACGAACGCUGGCGGCGUGCUUAACACAUGCAAGUCGAACGGAAAGGCCCCUUCGGGGGUACUCGAGUGGCGAACAGGUGAGUAACACGUGAGUAACCUGCCCUUGACUUCGGGAUAACUUCAGGAAACUGGGGCUAAUACCGGAUAGGAAUCCUUGCUGCAUGGUGGGGGUUGGAAAGCUUCGGCGGUUUUGGAUGGACUCGCGGCUUAUCAGCUUGUUGGUGGGGUAGUGGCUUACCAAGGCUUUGACGGGUAGCCGGCCUGAGAGGGCGACCGGCCACAUUGGGACUGAGAUACGGCCCAGACUCCGAAGGGAGGCAGCAGUGGGGAAUAUUGAACAAUGGGCGGAAGCCUGAUGCAGCAACGCCGCGUGCGGGAUGACGGCCUUCGGGUUGUAAACCGCUUUCAGCAGGGGCGAAGCUUGUGGUGACGGUACCUGCAGAAGAAGCACCGGCUAACUACGUG